UCAUUUUCAGUGAAGGGUUUCUCACUCUGUCAUAAAAAAAAAAUGGGGAAAGUGUUCAGGUCGCUGCUGUUUGCGUCAUUUCUGCUUCCGCCGGGUCUUACCUUGGCUUCCUUCCAAGGGUGUAAACGUGCUGAGGAAAAUUUGAACAGGCGGAUGGAGAAGAAGAGACGUGAGGAGCUCUCAGAUGAGUGAAGCCUCAGCUCUGGGUGAUGAAUAUUUCAGAGCCACUGACCUAAAGACGUAGUACAGGCUUAGUAGUUAAGCAUAAAGCUGUCUUUUGUAGUAAUGUACUUAAUGAACUGCCAUGUGUAUUAUGGAGUUAAGGUGAAGACUUGCAGAUUUGGUGUAGAGUAGUAACUGGAUGCAGAAUCCACUUGAUCUGAUCUUUAAUCUGAGCAACUAGAUGACUCUCUAUUAUAAGUUUAAUUCCUGUACUACUUUCUCAAAGUUAUAAGGUUGGCAUUUUUUUUUGGGUGAAAA